rnacentral:tRNA from 1 species
CGGUGUAGCUCAGUGGCAGAGCAGCUGUUUCGUAAACAGCAGGUCGCGGGUUCGAUUCCCAUCACCG